rnacentral:rRNA from 1 species
UACGUAGGGAGCAAGCGUUGUCCGGAAUCAUUGGGCGUAAAGCGCGCGUAGGUGGCUCGUAAGUCCGUUGUGAAAGUCAAAGGCUCAACCUUUGAAAGCCGAUGGAUACUGCGGAGCUAGAGUACGGAAGAGGCGAGUGGAAUUCCUGGUGUAGCGGUGGAAUGCGCAGAUAUCAGGAAGAACACCCGUGGCUAAGGCGGCUCUCUAGUACGGUACUGACGCUGAGACGCGAAAGCGUGGGGAGCGAACAGG